rnacentral:tRNA from 1 species
GGUCUAUCGCCAAGCGGUAAGGCAACGGGUUUUGAUCCCGUCAUCCCAUGGUUCGAAUCCAUGUAGACCUGCCA